AUUCAAUCUCUCUCUCCAAAAGUCAUCUUGUCAAGUUGCUAGGGUGAAGACAACCAAAAAGGACCACGCUACUAUCAAAUCAAGUACAUACCAAUUAUAGUUAUGGGCUUAGACACCUAAUCCAACAUCAUCAUUACAACGCCGCACAACCCGAUGUUUCCACCUUCGGUUGGGGCUGUGUCGGAUUGGUGUCAGAGAUAUUGGUUAUAGUGAACUAGUAAUUCCUUAGGAACUAUGACUAUAACCAAGGACAUACACUAUCAUUAGGUUUAACCCUUUAACCUCCUACUAAGAAGCCUUGGACGAAAUCUAUAGGGCCUCCCUAUAGUAUUUUGUCCACUCCUAAUUAAGGAGUCCAUCAGCCCAGUUUCACAACUAUCAAUGAUUUGCAAAACAGCCGAUGUUCUUUUAAUCAGUUCCUUUAAUCCCAUAAUAAAUUCCAAAUUAAUUUAUGAUUAAAUACUAAUUAAAUAACAUGAUUUUUAAUUGAUAUAUUAUUUUCAUAAAACAUUAAUAAAUCAAUUUGUUAUUCCAAAAUAAUAAAUUCAAUCUCUCUCUCCAAAAGUCAUCUUGUCAAGUUGCUAGGGUGAAGACAACCAAAAAGGACCACGCUACUAUCAAAUCAAGUACAUACCAAUUAUAGUUAUGGGCUUAGACACCUAAUCCAACAUCAUCAUUACAACGCCGCACAACUCGAUGUUUCCACCGUCGGUUGGGGCUGUGUCGGAUUGGUGUCAAAGAUAUUGGUUAUAGUGAACUAGUAAUUCCUUAGGAACUAUGACUAUAACCAAGGACAUACACUAUAAUUAGGUUUAACCCUUAAACCUAAUAUAAAAGUAUUACGAUAAAUUUCCCUAUGGAUAGACCACUUACGGGAGAGAUUUCAAGAAUGGAAAUUGUCGCUUGGGUUGUUGGAUUUCAGAAUGGCUACACGCCAAAGUGGUCCUACCCUCCUACUUUUCCUACCUAGCGAUUCCUUAAUUGGUAGUCUUGAGGUACAAAACAAAACUUUGUAAACUACACCAAAUAAAAGAAUAAUCUGAUAUAGAGUUAUAUACAUAUACUCUUAUAAACAUAUCUACUUAUCAAAAC
rnacentral:lncRNA from 1 species